CAUUUAUUGGCCUUCUGUAGCCUCUUUAUCAAAAAUACAGGAUCUCUGCUGUAACGUGACAUUUUCUAAGGCUCCCAUAGGCUCUCAGAAGGCGCCAGAACUUGGAAUGAUAACUCUGCAGUCUCUGGGCGAAAAACAGUAGGGCUUUUGGAGAGUGGUCCUUCUGAGAACAAUGACACUGGUGUGCGCGUGCAUGUGAAGACUCCAUUUUCUUAUUUCAGUGUUUGAAUGGAUACAUUUCCCGGUUGGAAUAUUAUCGCUAUUUUACGAGAGAAAAAAACACAUGAAAAUGAAUUUUAAACAACGUUUGACAUGCUUCGAAGUACGGUAAUGGAAUAUUUUGAAUUCUUUUGUCAGGAACCGCGCCGGCGCGUCACCCUUCGGAUAGUGAUUUGAACGCACGAACAAAAUUGAGCUAUUUGGAUAUAACUAUGGAUUAUUUGGAACCAAAACAACAUUGGGUGUUGAAGUAGAAGUCCUGGGAGUGCAUUCUGACGAAGAACAGCAAAGACGACGAUUUCGCUAUAUCGUCCUCCGACGAAGAAAGCCGUGACAGAAUCUCCCACCAAACCAGGACCAAGCAGCAGAGGAAGGAGCAGAGGAAUUGUGAUUUGGACAAUCGGGAGAGAUGGACAUGGGAGCAGGUUAUGGCCGGAGAAGGCCCAUGGAGUAAGGCUGUGUCUGUUCACAUGCAUAGGUUGACCUAAACAGUACAAACAUCUUCUGAGCAUGACUCCUAAUCUUCGGAAAGUUUUGUUCAUCACUCAACGUCAACAAAACAAAGGAGAUGAUCGUGGACUUUAGGAAACAGAAGGCCAUCAACGCCAUCAGACUGUUAAUCAUCACUAACAUAGAGAGGCUGCUGCCAACAUACAGGCUCACAUCUCUGGCCUCUUUAAUAAAUUGACUUAAAGGUAUCACUAGUAAUAAAGGUAUCACUAGUCACUUUAAAUAACACCACUUUAAUAAUGUUUACAUGUCCUACAUUACUCAUCUCAUAUGUAUUCUAAACCAUCUACUGCUUCUUGCCUAUGCCUCACAGCAAUCACUCAUUGUCACGUCCUGACCCUAGUAAGAUGUCAUUUUCUAUAGUAGAGUAGGUCAGGGUGUGACAGGGGGUGUUUUGUGUUUUUCUAUGUUUUCUAUUUCUAUGUUUGAGUUCUAGGUUUUCUAUUUCUAUGUUGGGGUUGAUCUCCAAUUGGAGGCAGCUGAUCCUCGUUGCCUCUGAUUGGAGAUCAUAUUUAAGUAGGGGUUUUUGUGGGUAGUUGUUUUCCGUUUUGUCAAGUGUACCUGACGGAACUGUAGGCUGUCGUUUUGUUUAAGUGUCUCCAUUAAAGUCAAGAAAUGAGUACUCUACACGCUGCGCCUUGGUCCCCUUUAUAUGACCCGCGUUACACUCAUCCAUGUAUUUAUAUGUACAUAUUCUUAUUUAAACCUUUACAUUUGUGUGUAUAAGGUAGUUGUUAUGAAUUUGUUAGAUUACUUGUUAGAUAUUACUGCAUUGUCAGAACUAGAAGCACAAGCAUUUCGCUACACUCGCAUUAACAUCUGCUAACCAUGUGUAUG
rnacentral:lncRNA from 1 species